AUCGACUUAAGGUCGCCGGGACCCGUAGUAAGCCUGCUAUCCUGUCUGUAUACCUGUGAAAUCCCAUACAUGAUCAUACAUUUGCUGUAACAACAUAAAACUUUUCUUUCUUCCAAGGCUUAACCUGUGCAUGCACUCUCUCUGUGCUCUACCAAUCCCUACUAGAGCUCCUCAUGGCUCUAGGCGGAUCAAUCUCAUAAUGUUAAGCCUGGUUUUGCUCAUAAACAUACAACAAUAAAGAAACAUACAUAAACUGAUCAUGUGACUCCACAAAGGGAUUACAAUUCUUAUAGUCAAGCACCAUUCUAUACACUAUACAUAAACCUUAUCUCUUUACAUUUACAUGUCCACAUUAGCUAUUACAAGACUCUGAACUCUUCCUGUACCCUGCUGACCUGUCUCUGACCUCUGAACCUGCACAACUGAAAUUAGGGGAGAGGGAUGAGCUACGAUAGCCCAGUGAGUAGAAUAGGCAAAUACAGGUGAUAAAACAUGCUCUCAUGGAAUGCAACACAUAAUCACAUAACCUCGGCCGGACGGAUCAAAACUCCCUCUAUCUCAUCUGGGGAACCUAAGUACCAUGUGCCUGGUCCCCGUAGGGCUGUUCCAGGUCUUUGUAUAUGUGCCUGGUCCCCGUAGGGCUAUUCCAGGUCUUUCCUCUGAGGGCUAAUGAAUCCUCACGAAGUCCGUGCCGUCUCACAUAAGCAAUGUACAAGGAGCAAUGCCAAGUAUAAGGAUAAAUGCAAUGCAUCAUCUUUGUGUACACUAAUGCACUCACCCUAUAGCAUAUUCAUGAUGCAUGAAGCAUGAGAAAAUAUUCAGUUCUCAUAUUAAAACAUUAAGUUAAUUCCACUCACCUGGUUAUCUC
rnacentral:lncRNA from 1 species